rnacentral:rRNA from 1 species
GAGCCUACGGGGGGCAGUAGUGGGGGAUAUUGCACAAUGGGGGGAACCCUGAUGCAGCGACGCCGCGUGAUUGAAGAAGGCCUUCGGGUUGUAAAGAUCUUUAAACAGGGACGAAGAAAUGACGGUACCUGAAGAAUAAGCUCCGGCUAACUACGUGCCAGCAGCCGCGGUAAUACGUAGGGAGCAAGCGUUAUCCGGAUUUACUGGGUGUAAAGGGCGUGUAGGCGGGCCUGUAAGUCAGAAGUGAAAUCUGGGGGCUUAACCCCCAAACUGCUUUUGAAACUGCGGGUCUUGAGUGAUGGAGG